rnacentral:rRNA from 1 species
GGGUUGUGAGGUUAAGCGACUAAGCGUACACGGUGGAUGCCCUGGCAGUCAGAGGCGAUGAAGGACGUGCUAAUCUGCGAAAAGCGCCGGCGAGGUGAUAUGAACCUUUGACCCGGCGAUGUCCGAAUGGGGAAACCCAGUGUGUUUCGACACACUAUCGUUAACUGAAUACAUAGGUUAACGAGGCGAACCGGGGAACUGAAACAUCUAAGUACCCGAGGAAAAGAAAUCAACCGAGAUUCCCCCAGUAGCGGCGAGCGAACGGGGAGCAGCCCGGAGUCUGAAUCAGUUUGUGUGUUAGUGGAACGGUCUGGAAAGUCCGACGGUACAGGGUGAUAGUCCCGUACACGAAAAUGCACAUGCUGUGAACUCGAAGAGUAGGGCGGGACACGUGGUAUCCUGUCUGAAUAUGGGGGGACCAUCCUCCAAGGCUAAAUACUCCUGACUGACCGAUAGUGAACCAGUACCGUGAGGGAAAGGCGAAAAGAACCCCGGCGAGGGGAGUGAAAAAGAACCUGAAACCGUGUACGUACAAGCAGUGGGAGCCUCUUUAUGGGGUGACUGCGUACCUUUGUAUAAUGGGUCAGCGGACUGUAUAUUCUGUAGCAAGGUUAACCGUAUAGGGGAGCCGAAGGGAAACCGAGUCUUAACUGGGCGUUAAGUUGCAGCGGUAUAGUACCCGAAACCACGUGACUCGUAAGCAUGGGCAGGUGAAGGUGGUAACACUAACUGGAGGACCGAACCGAGCUAAUGUUGAAAAUAGCGGAUGACCUGUGGCGGGGGUGAAAGGCAAUCAAACCGGGAGAUAGCUGGUUCUCCGAAAGCUUUUAGGUAGCGCUCGUGAGCUCAUCUAUCGGGGUAGACUGCGUACUGUUUCGGUAUAAUGGGCAUCCGCGACUUACAUUCUGUAUGCAAGCGUAACCGUAUAGGAGAUGUAUCACGAGGGAACACGGCGGUCUUAACGUCGUCGUUAAGUGCAGGGUAUAGACCCGAGACCGCCGUGAUCUAGUCCAUGGUCAGGUUGAAGGUUGGGUAACACUAACUGGGAGGACAGAACCGACUAAUGUUGAAAGAAUUAGCGGUAUGACCUGUGGCUGGCGGGAUGAAACGGCCAAUCCAACACCGGGAGAUAGCUGGUUCUCCCGAAGCUAUUUAGGUAGCGCUCGUGAACUCAUCUUCGGGGUAGAGCACUGUUUCGGCUAGGGGGGCCAUCCCGGCUUACCAACCGAUGCAAACUACGAAUACCGAAGAAUGUUAUCACGGGAGACCACGGCGGGUGCUAACGUCCGUCGUGAAGCAGGGAAACAACCCAGACCGCCAGCUAAGGUCCAAAGUCAUGGUUAAGUGGGAAACGAUGUGGGAAGGCACAGACAGCCAGGAUGUUGGCUUAGAAGCAGCCAUCAUUAAAGAAAGCGUAAUAGCUCACUGGUCGAGUCGGCCUGCGCGGAAGAUGUAACGGGGCUAACCAUGCACCGAAGCUGCGGCAGCGACGCUUAUGCGUUGUUGGGUAGGGGAGCGUUCUGUAAGCCGUUGAAGGUGGCCUGUGAGGGUUGCUGGAGGUAUCAGAAGUGCGAAUGCUGACAUAAGUAACGAUAAAGCGGGUGAAAAGCCCGCUCGCCCGGAAGACCAAGGGUUCCUGUCCAACGUUAAUCGGGGGCAGGGUGAGUCGACCCCUAAGGCGAGGCGAAAGGCGUAGUCGAUGGGAAACAGGUUAAUAUUCCUGUACUUGGUGUUACUGCGAAGGGGGGACGGAGAAGGCUAUGUCAGCCGGGCGACGGUUGUCCGGUUUAAGCAUGUAGGCGGAGGUUCCAGGUAAAUCCGGUACCUUGUUAACGCUGAGGUGUGAUGACGAGGCACUACGGUGCUGAAGUGAUAAAUGCCUGCUUCCAGGAAAAGCCUCUAAGCAUCAGGUACACGAAAUCGUACCCCAAACCGACACAGGUGGUCAGGUAGAGAAUACCAAGGCGCUUGAGAGAACUCGGGUGAAGGAACUAGGCAAAAUGGUGCCGUAACUUCGGGAGAAGGCACGCUGAUAUGUAGGUGAAGCCCCUGCGGGCGGAGCUGAAAUCAGUCGAAGAUACCAGCUGGCUGCAACUGUUUAUUAAAAACACAGACUGUGCAAACACGAAAGUGGACGUAUACGGUGUGACGCCUGCCCGGUGCCGGAAGGUUAAUUGAUGGGGUUAGCGGCAACGCGAAGCUCUUGAUCGAAGCCCGGUAAACGGCGGCCGUAACUAUAACGGUCCUAAGGUAGCGAAAUUCCUUGUCGGGUAAGUUCCGACCUGCACGAAUGGCGUAAUGAUGGCCAGGCUGUCUCCACCCGAGACUCAGUGAAAUUGAACUCGCUGUGAAGAUGCAGUGUACCCGCGGCAAGACGGAAAGACCCCGUGAACCUUUACUAUAGCUUGACACUGAACACUGGUCCUUGAUGUGUAGGAUAGGUGGGAGGCUUUGAAGCGUGGACGCCAGUCUGCGUGGAGCCGCCCUUGAAAUACCACCCUUUAAUGGCUGGUGUUCUAACGUAGACCCGUAAUCCGGGUUGCGGACAGUGUCUGGUGGGUAGUUUGACUGGGGCGGUCUCCUCCCAAAGAGUAACGGAGGAGCACGAUUGGCUAAUCCUGGUCGGACAUCAGGAGGUUAGUGCAAUGGCAUAAGCCAGCUUGACUGCGAGCGUGACGGCGCGAGCAGGUGCGAAAGCAGGUCAUAGUGAUCCGGUGGUUCUGAAUGGAAGGGCCAUCGCUCAACGGAUAAAAGGUACUCCGGGGAUAACAGGCUGAUACCGCCCAAGAGUUCAUAUCGACGGCGGUGUUUGGCACCUCGAUGUCGGCUCAUCACAUCCUGGGCUGAAGUAGGUCCAAGGGUAUGGCUGUUCGCCAUUUAAAGUGGUACGCGAGCUGGGUUUAGAACGUCGUGAGACAGUUCGGUCCCUAUCUGCCGUGGGCGCUGGAGAAUUGAGGGGGCUGCUCCUAGUACGAGAGGACCGGAGUGGACGCAUCACUGGUGUUCGGGUUGUCAUGCCAAUGGCACUGCCCGGUAGCUAAAUGCGGAAGAGAUAAGUGCUGAAAGCAUCUAAGCACGAAACUUGCCCCGAGAUGAGUUCUCCCUGAGACUUUAAGUCUCCUGAAGGAACGUUAAAGACGAUGACGUUGAUAGGUCGGGUGUGUAAGCGCAGCGAUGCGUUGAGCUAACCGAUACUAAUGAACCGUGAGGCUUAACCUUACAACGCCGAAG